AAUAUUUAUCGAUAGAUUUUCUAUUGUUAGUCAAUAAAACUUAUUGCUAAACAUUUUAUCAAUAAAUUUUUAUUGUGUUACUAAUAAAUUUUAACCGUAAAUAAUGACAAAUUUUUUUAAAACCUUUUGAUAAAAACACUUAUUAAAUACAACUUAUAAAUAUAAUAAAUAUAGAAACUAAGACCGAUCGGUCUACGCCACCCGAUUGAUCAACUAUAUAAAAAGUCAACUCCAGAAGUCUCACAGCAAUGUGAACCAAGCGACAGCCAACCAACUUAACGAUCAUUCAGUCCAAAGGUUUCACGACUUGAUUAACGAGAUGAAAACAUACUUAGAUGAUAUUGGAUUGUAACUGAGUCAAUCUUAAGAAUGUUGCUCCCUGCACUACCUCAUGCUUAAUUUGUCCUUCCAGUAAAUUGAAUAUCAACAUCCCUUUCACCUUCAACGGAUGUUGACGUCUGUGAACAAAUUUUCAC
rnacentral:lncRNA from 1 species